UCUGAGUUCCUCAGUCAGUGA
rnacentral:miRNA from 2 species